GAGGCUUAACACAUGCAAGUCGAGGGGCAGCAUGAUCUUUGCUUGCUAAGGUUGAUGGCGACCGGCGCACGGGUGCGUAACGCGUAUGCAACUUGCCUUACAGAGGGGGAUAACCCGUUGAAAGACGGACUAAAACCGCAUACACUUGUAUUAUUGCAUGAUAUUACAAGGAAAUAUUUAUAGCUGUAAGAUAGGCAUGCGUCCCAUUAGCUGGUUGGUGAGGUAACGGCUCACCAAGGCGACGAUGGGUAGGGGAACUGAGAGGUUUAUCCCCCACACUGGUACUGAGACACGGACCAGACUCCUACGGGAGGCAGCAGUGAGGAAUAUUGGUCAAUGGGCGAUAGCCUGAACCAGCCAAGUCGCGUGAAGGAAGACAGUCCUAAGGAUUGUAAACUUCUUUUAUACGGGAAUAACGGGCGAUACGAGUAUUGCAUUGAAUGUACCGUAAGAAUAAGCAUCGGCUAACUCCGUGCCAGUAGCCGCGGUAAUACGGAGGAUGCGAGCGUUAUCCGGAUUUAUUGGGUUUAAAGGGUGCGUAGGUUGUUCGGUAAGUCAGCGGUGAAACCUGAGCGCUCAACGUUCAGCCUGCCGUUGAAACUGCCGGGCUUGAGUUCAGUGGCGGCAGGCGGAAUUCGUGGUGUAGCGGUGAAAUGCAUAGAUAUCACGAGGAACUCCGAUUGCGAAGGCAGCUUGCCAUACUGCGACUGACACUGAAGCACGAAGGCGUGGGUAUCAAACAGGAUUAGAUACCCUGGUAGUCCACGCAGUAAACGAUGAUUACUAGGAGUUUGCGAUAUACCGUCAAGCUUCCACAGCGAAAGCGUUAAGUAAUCCACCUGGGGAGUACGCCGGCAACGGUGAAACUCAAAGGAAUUGACGGGGGCCCGCACAAGCGGAGGAACAUGUGGUUUAAUUCGAUGAUACGCGAGGAACCUUACCCGGGAUUGAAAUGUAGAUGACGGAUGGUGAAAACCGUCUUCCCUUCGGGGCUUCUAUGUAGGUGCUGCAUGGUUGUCGUCAGCUCGUGCCGUGAGGUGUCGGCUUAAGUGCCAUAACGAGCGCAACCCACAUCGGUAGUUGCUAACAGUUUUCGCUGAGGACUCUACCGAGACUGCCGUCGUAAGGCGUGAGGAAGGUGUGGAUGACGUCAAAUCAGCACGGCCCUUACAUCCGGGGCGACACACGUGUUACAAUGGGAGGGACAAAGGGCAGCUACCGGGCGACCGGAUGCGAAUCUCUAAACCCUUCCCCAGUUCGGAUCGGAGUCUGCAACUCGACUCCGUGAAGCUGGAUUCGCUAGUAAUCGCGCAUCAGCCAUGGCGCGGUGAAUACGUUCCCGGGCCUUGUACACACCGCCCGUCAAGCCAUGGGAGUCGGGGGUACCUGAAGGGCGUAACCGCAAGGGGCGCACUAGGGUAAUACCGG
rnacentral:rRNA from 1 species